rnacentral:rRNA from 1 species
UACGUAGAAGACUAGUGUUAUUCAUCUUUAAUAGGUUUAAAGGGUACCUAGACGGUAUUAUUAGCCCGCAAAGGGUACAAUUUUACUAGAGUUAUAUAUGAGAAGGUAGUAUUUUUGGUUCAGUGAUAAAAUAUUGUUAUACCUUGAGGACUGGUAAUGGCGAAAGCAACCUUCUAUCUAAUAACUGACGUUGAGGGACGAAGGCCUGGGGAGCAAAGAGG